UACUGAGAUUGGCAGUCUCGUUGUGCAGUUUUGCAUUCACACCCUGCUCCCUAGAGCUCCAGUAACACAAAUCAUAAGGGAUCCCCUCAUUAUAAAGACACACUCCCACUGCUCCGAUCCACGCUGAUGUCAGAGACGAGCGCUCUCUCUCUCUCUCUCUCUCUCUCUCUGAGUCGGAGGUACGUACGACGACGACGCGCUCUCUCUCUCUCUCUCUCUCUCUCUCUCUCUCUCUCUCUCUCUCUAUAAGGUGACCUGCCUCUUUGGAAAUGCUCUGACAAGGCAUCUGCAUUUGAGUCUUGCUUUAGCUUUAGUUUAGUAACUAGUCUGACUGAUGCACUUUGUAACUGGACUAGCUUUGGAACAUUUGCCCACUGAGGUAUUUGGAGUCAUUUAGAAUAGUGGAUAAACCUGCUUUUGCACUGGGGAUUUUUACUUGUUUUUUACAUUGGGAUUCAUUUUUUGGAAAAGUUUGGAAAUGUGUUCUGGAAGGAUUCAGAGGACUCUGGCUGCUUUUUGCACCAUCUUGAUGUUUAGUUGUAUGUUCAGCUGAAGGAGAGGCGUCCAGAGGCUGUUCCCGUCCCUGCUCCUGCCCCCCGUCUCCACCCUCCUGUCCGCUCGGAGUGAGCUGGGUGCUGGAUGAGUGCGGCUGCUGUAAGGUGUGCGCCCAACAGUUCAACCAGGACUGUGGCCCUGACCAACCCUGUGACUUGUGCUUAAUUGAUGGCACUGGGAAAAUGAGUUUGAAUAUUUAUCAGUCACGUUUAAAACAAGUGGCAGAGAAGCCAGGGGAGAUUCCAUUAGCAUACAGCUUCAUUUAGCAUUAGCGAGGAAUCUCAUGUGAACGGUGUCAGAGGAAACUCUGUUUCUUCAAAUAUGGGCACUUGUGUCCCUGUGGACUUUGAGAAAGUAAACUCUCUUAAAAGACACUUCUCACACACUCGUUCUGACAAUGCCAAACAGUUGCAUCAUGGGAGAAUUAUCUAAUUUUGUGAAUUUUACAAAUAUACAGUGCUGGCCAGCUGACAGAUCUGAAAAUAUUGACCUUUUUUUGCCCCCAAAACAUGAUUUAAUUUCAUAGUGUUCUAGCAUGGCAUAUUGUCAGUGUAUUUCCUGAGAACUUCAACAUUAAUGUUAUCCCAUGCCUUCUGCAACUCAAGCCAAAGCCUUUCCUUUGAAUAUGCAAUAGCCUAAAUCUGUCCAGUUUAUUUUCCCAGUACGCCAUGAUUCAAGUCAUUCACUGGUUUGGGACAAUAACAACAUUGCCCAUUUCCCAGCAGCGUCUAAACAGACAGAGGUCUGAUGAUUGAGUGCCGGGUGACUCGUGUGAGUGUAUUUAACCCCACACACAGGCCGGAGCAGCUGUUAUUGACUGUGUGCUGAAUGAGGUGGCUGUGGUUCGGCCGGCAGCUGCUGUAGCGCUGGGACACAGUCAGGGUCACUUCAUCAUCAACAUCAGCCACUGUUUCAGCUUUCUGCUGCCGUCGUGUUGUGCUAGUGUGAGCACAACACCACAAAUAAUGUUUCCUUUCAGUGCUUGAACCUCCAUGUCUGGCAUUCUGUUUCAAACAAGUUCUGAUCUUUAUUUAUGCAGUCAAAAAAGAAAAAAGUUGCAUAAGUUUGGAGUUGGUAAGAUUUAUUAAUAUAAAGUCUCUUCUGCUCACCCAGGCUGCAUUUAUUUGAUGAAAAAUACAGAAAAAAAUUAUUAUGAAAUAUUAUUACAAUUUAAAAGAAAUGUUUUCUGUUUGAAUAUAUGUAAGAUGAUCUUUCAGAAAUCAUUCUAAUAUGCUGAUUAUUAUCAGUUUUUUUAUUAUCAUAUAUUAUAUAUAUUUUUUAACUGUUGAUGUAUAGUUUUCAGGAUUCUUU
rnacentral:lncRNA from 1 species